GCCAGGUAGGAUAUUUAGAAGAAAGGUUCAUUUAUUUAGAUCACUAUUCACUUCUACUGUCCAGAUUCCUAGUUAUGAAUUAUGCAUAAUCAAGAACAUAAUGAAAAGCUUAAGGUGAAGAGGACAGAAAAUAAUUAGUAUGUUCUAGAUUUUGAUUUCAAUUCUCAUAUGUGUUAAUUAUGAUUUAUGAAUAUUGAAUGUUGAACAUGAUAUCAAUGGUUGUUUCUGUCAUCU
rnacentral:misc_RNA from 1 species